rnacentral:rRNA from 1 species
UUAAUAAUUUAAAGUCUAACCUGCCCACUGUUUUUAUGAAGGGCCGCAGUAUUUUGACUGUGCAAAGGUAGCAUAAUCAUUUGUCUAUUAAAUGUAGACUGGAAUGAAUGGUUGAACGAGGUGUAUACUGUCUCAUUUUUAUAAUUUAAUAAUUUAUGUUUUCAGUUAAAACACUGAAAUUUAAUUAAAGGACGAGAAGACCCUAUAGAUUUUUAUAAUUUUAUAUUUUAAUUAAUUUAGUAUAGAAUUUUAUUUUAUUUAUAAAAUUGUUUGGUUGGGGUGACAUAAAGAUUUGUAUAACUCUUUAAAUAUUAAAACCAUAAAUUUAUGAUUUUUUGAUCCGUUAUUAUUGAUUAAUAGAAUAAGUUACCUUAGGGAUAACAGCGUAAUUUUGUUGGAAAGUUCAUAUUUAUAACAGAGAUUGCGACCUCGAUGUUGAAUUAAAGAAAUGUUUUGGUGCAGUAGCUAAAAUAAUAGGUCUGUUCGACCUUUAAAUCUUUCAUGAUCUGAGUUCA